rnacentral:rRNA from 1 species
CCUACGGGUGGCAGCAGUGAGGAAUAUUGGUCAAUGGGCGCGAGCCUGAACCAGCCAAGUAGCGUGAAGGAUGACUGCCCUACGGGUUGUAAGCUUCAUUUAUAAAGGAGUAAAUUGAGGCACGUGUGCAUUUUUGUAUGUCCUUUAUGAAUACGGAUCGGCUGACUCCGCGCAAGCAGCCGCGGUAAUCCGGAGGUGCCGAGCGUUAUCCGAAUUUAUUGGGUUUAAAGGGACCGGAGAGGGGUUGUUAAGUCAGUUGUGAAAGUGUGCGGCUCAACCGUAAAAUUGGAAUUGAUACUGGGAGGCUGGAGUACAGUUGAGGUAGGCGGAAUUCGUGGUGUAGCGGUGAAAUGCUUAGAUAUCACGAAGAACACCGAUGGCGAAGGCAGCUUACUAGACUGUCACUGACAUUGAUGCUCGAAAGUGUGGGUAUCAAACAGGAUUAGAUACCCGGGUAGUC